CCUACGGGAGGCAGCAGUCGAGAAUCAUUCACAAUGGGGGAAACCCUGAUGGUGCGACGCCGCGUGGGGGAAUGAAGGUCUUCGGAUUGUAAACCCCUGUCAUGUGGGCGCAAAUUAAAAAGAUAGUACCACAAGAGGAAGAGACGGGUAACUCUGUGCCAGCAGCCGCGGUAAUACAGAGGUAUCCAGCGUUGUUCGGAAUCACUGGGCGUAAAGGGUGCGUAGGCUGUUUCGUAAGUCGUGUGUGAAAGGCGCGGGCUCAACCCGAGGACGGCACAUGAUACUGCGAGACUAGAGUAAUGGAGGGGGAACCGGAAUUCUCGGUGUAGCAGUGAAAUGCGUAGAUAUCGAGAGGAACACUCGUGGCGAAGGCGGGUUCCUGGACAUUAACUGACGCUGAGGCACGAAGGCCAGGGGAGCGAAAGGGAUUAGAUACCCGGGUAGUC
rnacentral:rRNA from 1 species